UUUUAGAUUCUAAAAAGAUGGUUUUGUUGUCAAGAUUAUUCUGUGGAUUUUUGAAGCUCAAGUUUUUGUGAUUUUCUAAGCAUUAAAGCUCUCCUAAGGAACGAUUGAAAACUUUGAGGAAAUUACCGAAGAAGGGUUUUGAUUGGAGCUAGAGGUUGAGUCUCCAAUUAGAUCAGUGAUUAGUUUACUACUCAAGUCACGGAUAAAAGUUUUCGAUCUCUUUCCUUUGGUGGGUGUCUAACAGCCACUUGACUUCAAGAGGGUCGGUUAUGUUCCAUUGACGAGUUAGUCAAUAUUUGUGUUUAUGUUUAUGGAUAAUGAACAUGUUUAUUGUAAAACCCA